rnacentral:rRNA from 1 species
ACUCCUACGGGAGGCAGCAGUAGGGAAUAUUGGUCAAUGGACGGAAGUCUGAACCAGCCAUGCCGCGUGCAGGAAGACGGCCUUCUGGGUUGUAAACUGCUUUUAUCAGGGAAGAAUAAGCUUCUUGCGAGAGGUGAUGCCGGUACCUGAGGAAUAAGCACCGGCUAACUCCGUGCCAGCAGCCGCGGUAAUACGGAGGGUGCAAGCGUUGUCCGGAUUUAUUGGGUUUAAAGGGUGCGUAGGCGGCCUGUUAAGUCAGUGGUGAAAGGUAUCAGCUCAACUGAUGACGUGCCAUUGAAACUGGCGGGCUUGAGUACAGACGAGGUAGGCGGAAUUUAUGGUGUAGCGGUGAAAUGCAUAGAUACCAUAAAGAACACCGAUAGCGAAGGCAGCUUACUAGGCUGAGACUGACGCUGAGGCACGAAAGCGUGGGGAGCGAACAGGAUUAGAUACCCUGGUAGGCGU